GACGUAGGAGGCGAGCGUUGUCCGGAUUCAUUGGGCGUAAAGAGCACGCAGGCGGUUUGGCAAGUCGGAUGUGAAAACCCGGAGCUCAACUCCGGACCUGCAUCCGAAACUGCCCGACUAGAGGUAGGUAGGGGAGAUCGGAAUUCCUGGUGUAGCGGUGAAAUGCGCAGAUAUCAGGAGGAACACCGGUGGCGAAGGCGAGUCCCUGGACAACACCUGACACUGAGGCACGAAAGCUAGGGGAGCAAACAGG
rnacentral:rRNA from 1 species